ensembl:snRNA U6 U6 spliceosomal RNA
GUUCUUGCUUUGGUAGCACAUAUACUAAAACUAGAACAAUAAAGAAGUUAACAUGGCCCCUGUGCAAGGAUGACAUGCAAAUUUAUGAAAUAUUUCAUAUUUUU